rnacentral:rRNA from 1 species
UACGGAGGGUGCAAGCGUUAUCCGGAUUCACUGGGUUUAAAGGGUGCGUAGGCGGGUAAGUAAGUCCGUGGUGAAAUCUCUGAGCUUAACUCAGAAACUGCCGUGGAUACUAUUUGCCUUGAAUAUUGUGGAGGUGAGCGGAAUAUGUCAUGUAGCGGUGAAAUGCUUAGAUAUGACAUAGAACACCAAUUGCGAAGGCAGCUCACUACACAAUCAUUGACGCUGAGGCACGAAAGCGUGGGGAUCAGACAGG